rnacentral:rRNA from 1 species
UACGUAGGCAGCGAGCGUUGUUCGGAGUUACUGGGCGUAAAGGGUGUGUAGGCGGUUGUUUAAGUUUGGUGUGAAAUCUCCCGGCUCAACUGGGAGGGUGCGCCGAAUACUGAAUGACUUCGAGUACGGGAGAGGUGAGUGGAAUUCCUGGUGUAGCGGUGAAAUGCGUAGAUAUCAGGAGGAACACCGGUGGUGUAGACGGCUCACUGGACCGUAACUGACGCUGAGGUGCGAAAGCCAGGGGAGCAAACGGG